rnacentral:rRNA from 1 species
AGAGUUUGAUCCUGGCUCAGGAUGAACGCUAGCGGGAGGCUUAACACAUGCAAGUCGAGGGGUAAGGAGAUAGCAAUAUUUCCCUAGACCGGCGCACGGGUGAGUAACGCGUAUGCAACCUGCCCUUUACAGGGGGAUAGCCCGGAGAAAUCCGGAUUAAUACCCCAUGGAUCUGCAGUACCGCAUGGUACAACAGAUAAAGCUGAGGCGGUAAAGGAUGGGCAUGCGUGACAUUAGCUAGUUGGCGGGGUAACGGCCCACCAAGGCUACGAUGUCUAGGGGUUCUGAGAGGAAGGUCCCCCACACUGGUACUGAGACACGGACCAGACUCCUACGGGAGGCAGCAGUGAGGAAUAUUGGUCAAUGGGCGAGAGCCUGAACCAGCCAUCCCGCGUGCAGGAAGAAGGCCCUAUGGGUUGUAAACUGCUUUUGUGCAGGAAUAAAAGUACCCUCGUGAGGGUAUUUGAAGGUACUGCGUGAAUAAGCACCGGCUAACUCCGUGCCAGCAGCCGCGGUAAUACGGAGGGUGCAAGCGUUAUCCGGAUUUAUUGGGUUUAAAGGGUGCGUAGGCGGUAUUUUAAGUCAGUGGUGAAAACUUGCAGCUUAACUGUAAGACUGCCAUUGAAACUGAAGUACUUGAGUUAUCUUGAGGUAGGCGGAAUGUGUAGUGUAGCGGUGAAAUGCUUAGAUAUUACACAGAACACCGAUUGCGAAGGCAGCUUACUAAGGAUACACUGACGCUCAGGCACGAAAGCGUGGGGAUCGAACAGGAUUAGAUACCCUGGUAGUCCACGCCGUAAACGAUGAUGACUCGCUGUUGGCGAUACACAGUCAGCGGCUUAGCGAAAGCGUUAAGUCAUCCACCUGGGGAGUACGCUCGCAAGAGUGAAACUCAAAGGAAUUGACGG